AGGCCGAAUCCUCAAAAUAGGAGAUAAGUGGUCUAAUGAGCCAGACUGUCAAAAGCCCCGGUGUCAGGGACCACAGACACUAGUGUGCGCAUCAAGCGACACCUGUAGUUGCUACUGCAAGGAUGUCUUCUGUUACGUACCAAGGUGUAGCAGUGGUUGCAAAGCAACGUGCUUUACAAGGCCUGGAUUUUGUCAAUGCCAAUGCGUGCACGUAAGUGCGAGGUGUGCGGAUCCAUGGGAAAGGAAUUGUCUCCCUGUUUGUGUGGGACACUCUCCUUGCAAAUGCAAUUGUGCUGGCGAAUACAAUCAGCACCAACGCAACGAAUACAGGAACUCGACACUGGGACGUGAAUUUGGCUGUCAAGCACCUCCUCAAAUAAAAAAGUAUCCGGGAAGAAGGAAAUAGACUGAAAGACCAGCUAUCCACGCUCCAGAGAAUCCAUCUCUGAAGGCAUGGCAACCUGUCUCUCAAUACAGGCAUAAUUGUAUGAUCUGUAAAUUUAGUUCAUGGACUGUCUGGAAUACAGAGCUAAAAAAAUCAAAAGGUCAAAUAAAACAUAGUACGUACCCUAGAAACUUC